rnacentral:autocatalytically_spliced_intron from 1 species
AUACAACCGUACAUAGUUCCGUCUAUGUAUUACAAGAUUGGGUUAAAACCCGUAGAGACUACACGCCAAUCUCCAGUUGCAAUGACAGCUGGAUGAAGACAUAGUCCGAUCCUGCGAGUAAUCGCAGA